rnacentral:rRNA from 1 species
GAUGAACGCUGGCGGCGUGCCUAACACAUGCAAGUCGAACGGAGCUGCUUUGAUGAAGUUUUCGGAUGGAUUUAAAACAGCUUAGUGGCGGACGGGUGAGUAACGCGUGGGUAACCUGCCUCACACUGGGGGAUAACAGGUAGAAAUAGCUGCUAAUACCGCAUAAGCGCACGGUUCCGCAUGGAACCGUGUGAAAAACUCCGGUGGUGUGAGAUGGACCCGCGUCUGAUUCGCCAGUUGGCGGGGUAACGGCCCACCAAAGCGACGAUCAGUAGCCGGCCUGAGAGGGUGAACGGCCACAUUGGGACUGAGACACGGCCCAAACUCCUACGGGAGGCAGCAGUGGGGAAUAUUGCACAAUGGGGGAAACCCUGAUGCAGCGACGCCGCGUGAGUGAAGGAGUAUUUCGGUAUGUAAAGCUCUAUCAGCAGGGAAGAAAGUGACGGUACCUGAAUAAGAAGCCCCGGCUAACUACGUGCCAGCCGCCGCAGUAA